rnacentral:tRNA from 1 species
GCCCGCGUAGCUCAAUUGGCAGAGCGCAGCAUUCGUAAUGCUGAGGUUGUCGGUUCGACUCCGACCGGGGGCU